rnacentral:rRNA from 1 species
GACGAACGCUGGCGGCGUGCUUAACACAUGCAAGUCGAACGGAAAGGCCCUGCUUUUGUGGGGUGCUCGAGUGGCGAACGGGUGAGUAACACGUGAGUAACCUGCCAUUGACUUUGGGAUAACUUCAGGAAACUGGGGCUAAUACCGGAUAGGAGCUCCUGCUGCAUGGUGGGGGUUGGAAAGUUUCGGCGGUUGGGGAUGGACUCGCGGCUUAUCAGCUUGUUGGUUGGGUAGUGGAUUACCAAGGCUUUGACGGGUAGCCGGCCUGGGAGGGUGACCGGCCCCAUUGGGACUGAGCUACGGCCCAGCCUCCUACGCGAGGCAGCAGUGGGGAAUAUUGCACAAUGGGCGGAAGCCUGAUGCAGCAACGCCGCGUGCGGGAUGACGGCAUUCGGGUUGUAAACCGAUUUCGCCUGUGACGAAGCGUGAGUGACGGUAAUGGGUAAAGAAGCACCGGCUAACUCCGUG